AGAGUUUGAUCAUGGCUCAGGACGAACGCUGGCGGCGCGCCUAAUACAUGCAAGUCGAGCGUGAACCCGGACUUCGGUCCGGGGGAAAGCGGCGAACGGGUGCGUAACACGUGAGCAACCUGCCCCGAAGACCGGGAUAACACCGGGAAACCGGUGCUAAUACCGGAUGUCCUCCUCCGACCGCAUGAUUGGAAGAGGAAAUGGAUUCCGCUUCGGGAUGGGCUCGCGGCCUAUCAGCUUGUUGGUGGGGUAACGGCCUACCAAGGCGACGACGGGUAGCUGGCCUGAGAGGACGAUCAGCCACACUGGGACUGAGACACGGCCCAGACUCCUACGGGAGGCAGCAGUAGGGAAUCUUGCGCAAUGGGCGAAAGCCUGACGCAGCGACGCCGCGUGCGGGAUGAAGGCCUUCGGGUUGUAAACCGCUUUCAGCAGGGACGAAAUUGACGGUACCUGCAGAAGAAGGCCCGGCCAACUACGUGCCAGCAGCGGCGGUAAUUC
rnacentral:rRNA from 1 species